rnacentral:rRNA from 1 species
AGUGAACGCUGGCGGUAGGCCUAACACAUGCAAGUCGAACGGCAGCACAGUAAGAGCUUGCUCUUACGGGUGGCGAGUGGCGGACGGGUGAGGAAUACAUCGGAAUCUACUUUUUCGUGGGGGAUAACGUAGGGAAACUUACGCUAAUACCGCAUACGACCUACGGGUGAAAGCAGGGGAUCUUCGGACCUUGCGCGAUUGAAUGAGCCGAUGUCAGAUUAGCUAGUUGGCGGGGUAAAGGCCCACCAAGGCGACGAUCCGUAGCUGGUCUGAGAGGAUGAUCAGCCACACUGGAACUGAGACACGGUCCAGACUCCUACGGGAGGCAGCAGUGGGGAAUAUUGGACAAUGGACGCAAGCCUGAUCCAGCCAUACCGCGUGGGUGAAGAAGGCCUUCGGGUUGUAAAGCCCUUUUGUUGGGAAAGAAAAGCAGCAGGUUAAUACCCCGCUGUUCUGACGGUACCCAAAGAAUAAACACCGGCUAACUUCGUG